UUAGAAAGUUUACGAAUGAGAAUUUGAUUUAUUUGAAUUUUGAGCCAUGAUUUAAAGCCUACUUUAUAGAUGGGUAAGGGGGCUUCUUCAAUCUGAACUUGUUUGCUGAAGGUUAGAUGCAUCCUCUCUGCUAGAGGUUACGGAGAUUUGGUCCAUCCGAUAAUGGAAGAGGAUACCAACUGCCUUCCGUGUGGAAA